rnacentral:lncRNA from 1 species
AAGGGCUGGCACAGAUUAAUAGCUGACAUGGCAGUUGGUUUUAAUUACUGGCGCAAAAUCGCAGGAGGCUCCAUUAUGAUCUGUUUCUCUAGUUGAAGAAUGACCUCUGGCUCUGCAUGCUGUAAUCCGAUUGUGGGGGUCUUGGGCUGUAAAUACUGAGGGUCUGUGGUCUGUAAUAGAAGUCUUUCCUCUUUCUGCCAGAAAAGGAGCAGGAGCUGAAAAAGCGAGGCCAGUCUUACAACUCACUGGACUUCUGGCAAGAAUCCCUCCCCAGAACCAACCCUAAUUGCUGACCUGAGUUAUACACAUUCAAGAGAGAAGUAGAAGGUUUUCAUUACAAGUCAUCUAACUCUGCAGGAGUUUGGCUUUGAAAACCCCCUGAAAAGGACUCAUGUGAAUAAAGCGGGGCCAUUCUCAUUGAAGCA